rnacentral:rRNA from 1 species
UUGGCUGUCGUCAGCUCGUGUCGUGAGAUGUGGGUUAAGUCCGCAACGAGCGCAACCCUUGUCAUUAGUUGCCAUCAUUUAGUUGGGCACUCUAAUGAGACUGCCGGUGACAAACCGGAGGAAGGUGGGGAUGACGUCAAGUCCUCAUGGCCCUUAUGGGUAGGGCUUCACACGUCAUACAAUGGUCGGUACAGAGGGUUGCCAAGCCGCGAGGUGGAGCCAAUCCCUUAAAGCCGAUCGUAGUCCGGAUCGUAGUCUGCAACUCGACUACGUGAAGUCGGAAUCGCUAGUAAUCGCAGAUCAGCAUGCUGCGGUGAAUACGUUCCCGGGUCUU